CAGGUUUGUUAUCUUUAAAUCCCUAUCAGGCUAUAUUUUACAUAAAGAGCAUACUUCCUGGUUUAUCAUCUUUGAGCUCGUGCUUCCAUUUUGUGUGUAGACAAUGAAAUGCAUUUACAUAAUAAUUAGCAAAUUUUACCCUGACCUUUUCUAUUUUGAGAUUAUUAAUGUACGACACACAAUUGCGAGGGAAGAAAAUCAUUUGACUCGAGUAAAGACUAGUCAAACUGAGAUUUCUCUCUUCAGAGCUUUCCUACCAGAAUCCGAUGCAUCACAAGAUUGCAAAUGCAGAUAUGUCUCUCACCAUCCCAUAAUUUGGAGUAACAGUAUGAGGUGCUUUCGGUAUCUUUGGGCAUAAAACUUAUAUACCUACCAGUAAUUCUAAUAAGAUUUAGUCCGAAAGAAUCUUCUUUUUUUUUAAAUCGCAUGCUCAUUAUGGUUGAUUUCUCAUCUCUAAAGUCACUGUAGUCUGAGGCUUUUAGUAAAAAAGAAUACUUCAUGUGGUUGCCUUAGAGUAGAAUCUCUGCCUGAAAUACAUGCCUGUUGUCAAUUUACUCUACACUAGUUUGAUCAUUCACCCUUCAUUAUUUGGAUGGACAUAAUCAAAUUGAUAAAUUAAUCUAAAAGAGAGAUAACUAAUGACAUGUAUCUUUCAGGGACUAUAAUGAGGUUUUUCUCAUUUCACAUUUCUUCUCUUAUUUCCUUAUCUUUCUGAGAUUGAGCUGAUGUCUGUCUUUUGCAUUGUUAAUCUGCAUUUGUUUCACCUUCAAAUUUUAUUUACCGAGUUGUUUGACAUAGUAUAGGAGAUCCAGGUCUCACAUUUUACACCACCUGUAUUUGGGUUUGUACUUCUGGAGUUGGAAUCUGUUUUAACUUUCAAGUCUUACAGAGCUAUAUUUAUCCUUGUCUGCCUUUUUUUUCAAGUCAUUUAGGAUUAUCCUCUUUGAAGCUUAAUUUGAGGUCUUAGAGAAAAUUGUAGGCUGAAUUGAUAAAUAAUUUCUUUCUGUUUGUCAAUUUGUGUCUUCAAUCUUUGAAAAGCCUAAUACUUCAUACUUGAUGGCAGGGGUGGCCAUAUUAUAAUGUAGACAUGUUUUAACUGCCAUUCUGUAUAAUAUACGGAGUCCAUUCUGAAAUGUGGGAGGUUCAGUGACAAAUGUCAUUAAGUUUUCCUUGUACUCUAGUUUAUGUGUUUCUUGUUUUGAGGUGUAAAUGUAUCCAAAUUUCUAUGUAAUGCCUGGCUUGUUGGAUUGUAAGUUUGUUUCAGUUCAUAUUUUCAUUUGCAUUUUGAUAUUUCUGCUAGGAAUGUAUAUUAAAUUAUUGAUCUCAGUUUGUAUGAGUAAUUCUAAUGUAAAUUUAAUGUAUUUGAAUCAUUCAACAUUCAAAUUAAUUAUAUUUUUGGUUCAAAUUAAGAAGGAACAAGUGCAAGAACGGAAACAACUAAUUAUGUUUUUAUUGCAUGGAAGGAUUCUAGAGUCACAAAAGUUUAAUCUUGUUCUUUCUAUUCUCAUGAUUUUUUAGUAUUUAUAUCAAUAUUUGAUGUUUCUGUGUUAUGUGGUUACCACCUCUUCAUUGUUGGCAUAUUUGUUGUGUGUUGGAUGUUUUAUGACUUUGGGAAUGUUGUGUUGUGCUUGGUACAUAAUGUGCCCUGGUUGACAGAAUUGAUUGCUGUAGUUCCCAAGUUUAUUUCACCCCUUUAAUUCCGUAUUAUUUAACUGCUCUUUAAAGGAUUGAUGAAUCUGUUCUGCUGUGCACUUUAAAGGAUUGAUGAAUCUGUUCUGCUGUUGCAGUAUUACUUCGACACACUGUUUCCUCGCAUCCCUGUUCCUGUAUUGCGGCAGGUUGUGUCUCAUCUUGAAAAGAUGAAGCUCCCCACUACACAUUCUGGUUCAACUGGG
rnacentral:lncRNA from 1 species